rnacentral:rRNA from 1 species
CCCCAGACUCCUACGGGAGGCAGCAGUGGGGGAUAUUGCACAAUGGGGGGAACCCUGAUGCAGCGACGCCGCGUGGGUGAAGGAGCGUUUCGGCGCGUAAAGCCCUAUCGGCAGGGAAGAAGGAGGACGGUACCUGACUAAGAAGCCCCGGCUAACUACGUGCCAGCAGCCGUGGGAAUACGUAGGGGGCAAGCGUUAUCCGGAUUUACUGGGUGUAAAGGGGGCGCAGACGGCAGCGCAAGCCAGGAGUGAAAGCCCGGGGCCCAACCCCGGGACUGCUCUUGGAACUGCGCGGCUGGAGUGCAGGAGGGGCAGGCGGAAUUCCUGGUGUAGCGGUGAAAUGCGUAGAUAUCAGGAGGAACACCGGUGGCGAAGGCGGCCUGCUGGACUGCGACUGACGUUGAGGCCCGAAAGCGUGGGGAGCAAGCAGGAUUAGAUACCCUCGUA